AGGCAAUCCAUCUGUUUUUGUUUUCUGUACCACAUUUCCUUCUCUAUAUUUUUUGCCCUGGGCUUUGAGAUACUGCUUCAACUUGAGCUUUUGGGGAACUAAUUAGUGUUUCAACAAUGAAGAGACCAAGAUGAUUAAAAUUGUAAGUUGCCUAUGCAUGGAUUUAGAAAGCAAAAAAGGAGACCAAGGACUUAGCUUAAAGCUAUUCUUUCUAUAAACCUUGUCUGGCUCAAUCUCUUGUUCAUUCACCGCCUCCCCCACCAUGUUCCCUAAUAUUGAUAUACUAAGCUUACAGGGUCAAGUGUUGAAUUUGUGCUCUGCUCCUCCUUUUCCUCUUCCUCCUCCUCCUCUGUGCUAUAUUCUUCCAUGAUGUCUCCGUCAACAAAAUGGAUAAUCCUUUUAGGAGUAGUCUUUUUGGAAGGUACACUCUUCUCUAGGUCUAACUGCUGGAAACCGUCAAUCUCCAUAAUGAAACAAAACAACUAGAAAAUUAAAAACAGGGCACCUUAGGGCAAGUUACCCAGAGCUGAGAGUUAUCUAGUUAUUUUCAAUGGAUAGUAAAGACAGAGAACUCAGAGGUAAUCACACCUGUGACCUCAUCGAUUCCUCAAAUCCAAAAAAGGACUGUUCUAUUCUGUACCAAAAUGGAAGAGAUUUGAUAAAUAGCGAAAACGUGAACUUACAGUCUUCAAACAAAAGUGUCAACAGGGUUUUCUUACCUUUUGUUAACGUUAAAACACACAAUUGCUAGUAGGAAGGGGUCACUAUCCUGCAGACGUUUCUCAAUUAUUUCAAUAAAUAUUGAGAAGCAAUGAAGGAAAUGGUUAAGAGUACAGACUUCACACAGACAGGAGAAAACAUGUGCAAAGUAUAUAUUUGGUAAAGGACUUAUUUUCAGAACAUGUAAAGAGCGAUUACAAUUCAACAGGUAAAAGGCAAAUAAC
rnacentral:lncRNA from 10 species